GACGAACGCUGGCGGCGUGCCUAAUACAUGCAAGUCGAGCGGAUCUUCAUUAGCUUGCUUUUGAAGAUCAGCGGCGGACGGGUGAGUAACACGUGGGCAACCUGCCUGUAAGACUGGGAUAACUUCGGGAAACCGGAGCUAAUACCGGAUAAUCCUUUUCCGCUCAUGAGGAAAAGCUGAAAGUCGGUUUCGGCUGUCACUUACAGUUGGGCCCGCGGCGCAUUAGCUAGUUGGUGAGGUAAGGGCUCACCAAGGCGACGAUGCGUAGCCGACCUGAGAGGGUGAUCGGCCACACUGGGACUGAGACACGGCCCAGACUCCUACGGGAGGCAGCAGUAGGGAAUCUUCCGCAAUGGACGAAAGUCUGACGGAGCAACGCCGCGUGAGCGAUGAAGGCCUUCGGGUCGUAAAGCUCUGUUGUCAGGGAAGAACAAGUACCGGAGUAACUGCCGGUACCUUGACGGUACCUGACCAGAAAGCCACGGCUAACUACGUGCCAGCCGCCGCUGUAA
rnacentral:rRNA from 1 species